rnacentral:tRNA from 1 species
GCGCCCAUAGCUCAAUUGGAUAGAGCAUCUGACUACGGAUCAGAAGGUUCCCUGUUCGAAUCGGGGUGGGCGUGCCA